GUCUGCAACCCGACUCCACGAAGCUGGAUUCGCUAGUAAUCGCGCAUCAGCCACGGCGCGGUGAAUACGUUCCCGGGCCUUGUACACACCGCCCGUCAAGCCAUGGGAGCCGGGGGUACCUGAAGUGCGUAACCGCGAGGAUCGCCCUAGGGUAAAACUGGUGACUGGGGCUAAGUCGUAACAAGGUACC
rnacentral:rRNA from 1 species